GCUCCCCUGGUCCAACUGGAAGAGGCGGCCGGCUUAAACCCGGCAUGUUGAGGGUUCGACUCCCUCGGGGAGCA
rnacentral:tRNA from 2 species